CUCAAAGGGAAUUGACGGGGACCCGCACAAGCGGGUGGAUGAUGUGGUUUAAUUCGAUGCAACGCGAAAAACCUUACCCACCUUUGACAUGGCAGGAAGUUUCCAGAGAUGGAUUCGUGCUCGAAAGAGAACCUGCACACAGGUGCUGCAUGGCUGUCGUCAGCUCGUGUCGCGAGAUGUUGGGUUAAGUCCCGCAACGAGAGCAACCCUUGUCAUUAGUUGCUACAUUCAGUUGAGCACUCUAAUGAGACUGCCGGUGACAAACCGGAGGAAGGUGGGGAUGACGUCAAGUCCUCAUGGCCCUUAUAGGUGGGGCUACACACGUCAUACAAUGGCUGGUACAGAGGGUUGCCAACCCGCGAGGGGGAGCUAAUCCCAUAAAACCAGUCGUAGUCCGGAUCGCAGUCUGCAACUCGACUGCGUGAAGUCGGAAUCGCUAGUAAUCGCGGAUCAGCAUGCCGCGGUGAAUACGUUCCCGGGUCUUGUACACACCGCCCGUCACACCAUGGGAGCGGGUCUCGCCAGAAGUAGGUAGCCUAACCGCAAGGAGGGCGCUUACCACGGCGGGGUUCGUGAGUGGGGUGAAGUCGUAACAAGGUAA
rnacentral:rRNA from 1 species